rnacentral:lncRNA from 1 species
GACUUUCAAAUCGACGAUCGGCUCCGUUAGAGUUGAUCUAGAGUAUUUGAAGUACCUAGAAAAUAAAUUUUGCGAUUUUUCGAUAUCAUUUGCCUAGUGAUCGAAGGGGCUCAAAAUCAAUAAUUUUAAUGGCCGUGGUGAGCCGGUUGCAAGUUUAACGGUGUAGAAAUAUCCAAAUCACGUAAAAUUUUGAUAGAAAAAUUUUUAUACUAUAUAAAAUAAGAUCAAUAUCUUUGAUCUAAAAUUUUAAUGUUAUAUUAUCAUAUUUUGUAAGAUUUUUAUUUUUAGUCGUUGAUUUUGAGCCCCUUAGUUCACUAGGCAAAUGAUAUCGAAAAAUUACAAAAUUUAUUUUCUAGCUACUUUAAAUACUCUAAAUCAAGUUUAACGGAGCCGAUCGACAAUUCGAAAGUCGCAACAUCAAAAACGACAUGGAAGCACGGAAGGCUCCGUGCUUCCAGAAGCAUAGUAGCCUCACACUAUAUAUAUAUAUAUAUAUAUAUAUAUAUAUAUUAGUCAAGUACUAUACUUUUAUGAGUAUUGGCUCCCUUAUACUCAUAAGUCUUCGGCCCUUAGAUUUAUUUCAUUAAUUAUUUCCACCCGUUAGAUCAUAAUAUUCACCCAGCUACCCACUCAACCCUAGAGGACCACUAUCAUUCUAAGUAGAGACAACCAUCAUCCUAGCCAUACAUUUCAUUAAUCAACGGUCAAAAAUUUAUGAGUAUAAGGGGGUCUAUACUCAUAAAAGUAUAGUAGCCCCAGCCAUAUAUAUAUAUAUAUAUAUAUAUAUAUAUAUAUAUAUAUAUAGAGAGAGAGAGAGAGAGAGAGAGAGAGAGAGAGAGAGAGAGAGAGAGAGAGUAGAAUUACUAUACUAUUAUGAAUAUUGGGUCCUUCGUACUCAUAAGUUGUUUUAGAUGAUGGAGCUUCCGAAUCGACGAUCCACUCCGUUAAAUAUGAUCUAGAAUAUUUGAAACUUCUAGAAAAUAAAUUUCGUAAUUUUUCGAAAUCAUAAUAAAAUCCAUUAAGCGGGCAUAAAAUGAAUGCUCAAAAUUGAACAAUGUCUUAAAAAUGGAUGAUUGGAUCCUUCAAUUUAAGAUCGGAGUUAUUGAUUUUUAUCUAGGUAGUGAAUAGAAUUUUCUAUCAAAAAUUCAAUUUAUUCGGAUUCUUUUGCACCGUUAAACUAGCAAGUAUUCCAUAUCGACCGUUAAAAAUUGUCAAUUUUGUGAGCAUUUGAUCGUAAGGUAAAUGAUGUCGAAAAAUUAUAAAAUUUGAUUUCUAGAUGUUUCAAAUGCUCUAGAUAAUGUUUAACGGUGUGGAUCGUCGAUUCGAAAGCUCUAUCAUCGAAAACAACUUAUGAGUACGAGGGCGAUCGUACUCAUAAUAGUAUAGUAGUCGGACUCCAUAUAUAUAUAUUUAUAUAGAGAGAGAGAGAGAGAGAGAGAGAGAGAGAGAGAGAGAGAGUUGAGAUAGAAUACUAUCAAUAGUAAACGGGCUCUGUUGUCACCCAUUUUUUUUUCGAUAAUAGAGCCUCCAAAUCGACGAUCGGCACCGUUGAACAUGAUUUAUACCACUUGAAGUGUUUACAAAUCAAAUUUUAAAUCUUUUCGACAUCAUUUGCCUAAUGAUCAAAGGGUUUCAAAAUUUGUAAUUUUAAUGGUCGAUACGAGGCGUUUUCUCAUUUAACGGCAUAAAGAUAUUAAAAUUAAUUGAAUUUUUGUUAGAAAAUUUUUUAAACUAUUUAAAAUAAGAUCUAUACUCUUGACCUUGAUUACAAGACUUCUAUCAUCAUUUUUUAAAGAAUAUUCAUUUUCAGCCGUUCAUUUUUGUGUCUACUCAAUGGAUAGAGAACAAUAUCAAAAAUGUAUGAAAUUUGAUUUCUAAAUAUUUCAAGUGGUAUAGAUCAUGUUAAACGGUGCCGAUCGUCAAUUCAGAGACUCCAUCAUCGAAAAUAAAUGGGUGGCAACAGAUCCCCUUUGCUAUCGAUAACAUUCUAGCUCAACUCUAUAUAUAUAUAUAUAGAGCAGAGCUGCUGUGCUCUCAGAAGCAGGGAGGCCUCCAUGCUCCUGAGCCAUUUUUUAUGAUGGAAUUUUCGAAUCGACGAUCGGCUCCGUUAGACUUGAUCUAGCGCAUUUGAAUUUUCUAGAAAAUAAUUUUUGCGAUUUUUUGAUAUCAUUGACCUAAUGAUCGAAGGAUUCAAAAUCCAUAAUUUUUAAUGGUUGAUAUCUGCCGUUUUCAAGUUUAACGGUGUAGAAGUAUUCAAAUCAGAUGAAAUUUUGAUACAAAAUUCUUUAUACUAUCUACAACAAAAUCAAUAUUUCUGAUCGAAAAUUUUAAUGCUAUAACACCACUUUUUAUUGGAUUUUUAUUUUCAGCCAUUAAAAAUUAUUGAUUUUGAAUCAUUUCAAUUGUUAGGUAAAUGAUAUCGAAAAAUCGCAAAAAUUAUUUUCUAGAAACUUCAAAUACGCUAUAUCAAGUUUAACGGAGCCGAUCGUCGAUUCGGAAACUCCAUCAUCAAAAACGGCUGAGGAGCACGGAGGCCUCCGUGCUCCUGAGAGCACAGCAGCCUUGCUCUAUCUCUCUUUAUAUAUAUAUAUAUAUAUAUAUAGGCCAUGAUACUAUACUAUUAUGAGUAUUGGAGCCUCGUACUCAUAAGUUGUUUUCAAUGAUGGAGCUUCCGAAUUUUACGAUCCACUCCGUAAAUAUGAUCUAGAGUAUUUGAAACUUCUAGAAAAUAAAUUUCGUAAUUUCGAAAUCAUAAUUAAGUCCAUCAAGUGGGCAUAAAAUGAACGGUCAAAAUCGAACGACGUUCUAAAAAGGAUGAUCGGAUUUUCAAUUCAAGAUCGCGAGUUAUUGAUCUUUUCUAUGUAGUGAAUAGAAUUUUCUAUCAAAAAUUCAACAAAUUUCGAUUCUUUUCAUCGUUAACUAGCAAGUAUCACAUACGGCCGUUAAAAUUGUCAAAUAUUGGACCUCUUAUCGUAAGGUAAAUGAUGUCGAAAAUAUAAAAUUAUAAAAUUUGAUUUCUAGAAGUUUUAAAUGGUGUAAAUAACGUUUAACGGUGUGGAUCGUCGAUUCAGAGCUCUAUUAUCGAAACAACUUAUGGUACGAGGGCGAUCGUACUCAUAAUAGUUAUAGUAGCCGGACCC